GCCCCGAUAGCUCAGUGGUAGAGCACCGCCAUGGUAAGGCGGGGGUCGUCGGUUCAAUCCCGACUCGGGGCU
rnacentral:tRNA from 1 species